GCCCGGAUGGUGAAAUUGGUAGACACAAGGGACUUAAAAUCCCUCGGCUUAACGGCUGUGCCGGUUCGACCCCGGCUCCGGGCACCA
rnacentral:tRNA from 1 species